rnacentral:rRNA from 1 species
UACGUAGGUGGCAAGCGUUGUCCGGAAUUAUUGGGCGUAAAGCGCGCGCAGGUGGUUUCUUAAGUCUGAUGUGAAAGCCCACGGCUCAACCGUGGAGGGUCAUUGGAAACUGGGAGACUUGAGUGCAGAAGAGGAUAGUGGAAUUCCAAGUGUAGCGGUGAAAUGCGUAGAGAUUUGGAGGAACACCAGUGGCGAAGGCGACAAUCUGGUCUGUAACUGACACUGAGGCGCGAAAGCGUGGGGAGCAAACAGG